AGCGAACGCUGGCGGCGUGCCUAACACAUGCAAGUCGAACGUGAAAAGGGAAACCUGAGUAAAGUGGCGUACGGGUGAGUAACGCGUAGGUAAUCUACCCCAGAAUCUGGAAUAACCUGCCGAAAGGCGGGCUAAUACUGGAUAGAGCGAGGGAACUCGUAAGAGAGUUUUUCGGGAAAGGGAGCCCGCAAGGGCCUUCGUUCUGGGAUGAGCCUGCGUCUCAUUAGCUAGUUGGUAAGGUAACGGCUUACCAAGGCGAUGAUGAGUAGCUGGUCUGAGAGGAUGAUCAGCCACACUGGAACUGAAACACGGUCCAGACUCCUACGGGAGGCAGCAGUGGGGAAUCUUGCGCAAUGGACGAAAGUCUGACGCAGCCACGCCGCGUGAGUGAAGAAGGCCUUCGGGUUGUAAAGCUCUGUCGGAUGGGACGAACAUCUUCAUAGUGAAUAGCUAGGAGGACUGACGGUACCAUCAAAGGAAGCACCGGCUAACUCCGUG
rnacentral:rRNA from 1 species